GAUGAACGCUGGCGGCGUGCCUAAUACAUGCAAGUCGAGCGAACGGACGAGAAGCUUGCUUCUCUGAUGUUAGCGGCGGACGGGUGAGUAACACGUGGAUAACCUACCUAUAAGACUGGGAUAACUUCGGGAAACCGGAGCUAAUACCGGAUGAUAUUUUGAACCGCAUGGUUCAAAAGUGAAAGACGGUCUUGCUGUCACUUAUAGAUGGAUCCGCGCUGCAUUAGCUAGUUGGUAAGGUAACGGCUUACCAAGGCAACGAUGCAUAGCCGACCUGAGAGGGGGAUCGGCCACACUGGAGCAGAGACACGGGCCAGACGCCUACGGGAGGCAGCAGUAGGGAAUGUGCCGCAAUGGGCGAAAGCCUGACGGAGCAACGCCGCGUGAGUGAUGAAGGUCUUCGGAUCGUAAAACUCUGUUAUUAGGGAAGAACAUAUGUGUCAGUAACUGUGCACAUCUUGACGGUACCUAAUCAGAAAGCCACGGCUAACUACGUG
rnacentral:rRNA from 1 species